AAUCCCAAGGCAUUUCAUUUCUUUCCAUAGAGCUAAUCCCUUCUUCAGAGCCCAGCUCGUUUUCAAGUGGCUGCUCCUGUUUUUCCCCCACCCCUUCAGUGCGACAGCCUCAGAGCUGGUGGAAAGGCAGAGCGCAGGCAGCUGGAUAAAUUUGUAGACGUGGAAUUUCUGGAUCAAAUGGUGCUCGGAGAAUUAAAGCUGUCUGGACUCAGUUCCUGGAGUUUUCUAGAAUGGUAUAAGAAGGAAAUGUAAGAGCUGUGAGAGGAGCAGAAAUAAAUAACGCUCGCCAGCCUGUUGCUGGCAGUAGUCUGAUCUAGGGAUUUAAAGGAGGUAGACUGCAACCGUCUCUUGUAGGAGGAGAUUGGAUGAUUGAGAGAGCCCUUGGAAGAGGGGAAGAGGGCUGCAUGCCCAGUGCAUAUUUGCCAUCUAGUGCCCGUACUGGUGCUAUUUGUGCUUCUCAUCCCAGACAGGCAGACUUGACCUUCACUCCUGACUUCCGCGAUCCCUUCACAACUGCAAGUCAUUUUCCUACAAAACUGGAGUUUGCCUACUCUGCGCCUUUGAGAGUUUUGGAACAGCAUGCAAGUUCACGUCGCCAUCACGUUAUCCUGCUGACUGUCUCAUGUGACGAGACCGACACCCGGGUCGCUUGCUUCUGCCCUUGUUCUUCUGCCUGUUGUCCCCUCUGCAGCCAUUGAGCACACACACGUGUUGUCACGCAAAAGCCGUUUUGCUGUUUUUAUUUGUCUUGUGAAUGUUGUCAUUUGCUUCGUGCGUAUCACGAAUUAGUGUCGUGUACUGCUCAGUGAUCUAAAACUGUCACUAAUUAGAAAUUUGCGUUGAGUCUGGGUAGGAAUGGCACCCAAGCAGAAAAGCAAGAGUGCAGAUGCUAGAAGAGCAAAGAGGGCAAGAAAAGUGAUGUUUGCAGCAAACGAAAUGAAAGUUCUCGAAAUGCUCAAUAAUGGUGAAACCAAGACCUCUCUAGGGCCCUUUUUUUCCUUUUUUUGGCAUUAAUAAAUCUAUGAUUUGCACAAUAAAAAUAAGAUGCUAUUAGGGCCAGUCAAUCGAGGGGCACACUAGAAUCAUCAAGAACAUCAUACAUAACGUGAAAUGCCAACACAGAGACCAUGGAAAAGAUGUGCACGUGUGGCUUCUAACCCAGAGAGCGCUGCAUAGGCCUCCUCCUGUAUGCGUAAUCUGCCAGCGAGCAUCACAAAAACGCAAGUUUCAAUUUUCAUCUGGACAAAAGGUUACCACAUUCACUGUGAGUAAAGGGUGGUUGGCUAGGUUUAAGAAAUGCUGUGGUCUGUCUGAAAAGAAAUGGUCGGCAGAGGAAGCAGAUCGUGAGGCUGCUGCUGACUACCCUGAAUACCUGAGGGAACGGAUUGAGGGAAAUGGCUGCUUUUUCAGUGCUGACGAAAUGGCCCUGUUCAGGAAGUACAUGCCUACUUGCACACCUUUUGCAGAGGAUGAGAAAAAGACCAGAGGCUUCAAGCCUGGAAAGGACAAGCUCAAAGUUCCGUUUCGUUCCAACGGUCCUGGUGAUUGAUUAAACCCACAUUGCUUCACAGAUUGCGAAGUCCUUGCCCUCUUAAAAGAGAAUGCUAGAAACACUUUUCUGUUUACAUGAAGGGAAACCAUAAAGUAGGGAUCACUGAGAAACUCUUUUUGGGCCAGUUUUUGAAGUCUUCAUUCCUGAGGUUAGACAAUAUUUAAACCAAAAAAAAACAAAAAACAAAAAACCUUGAAUUCAAAGUUGCUGCUUUUGGACACCUGCUCCUACUGCCAAAAGUGCGAUAGUAAAUGCUGAUCCUUGUGUUCCAGUCACCUCCACCCCCCAGUACAACUCCACUCCUUCAACCCAAGCAGCUGGGAGUGCUGAAAAU